GAUGAACGCUAGCGGUAGGCCUAACACAUGCAAGUCGAGGGGCAGCACAGAAACAGCAAUGUUUUGGUGGCGACCGGCGGACGGGUGCGUAACGCGUAUGCAACCUACCUUUAACAGGGGGAUAACGGAGAGAAAUUUCCACUAAUACCCCAUAACAUCGAUCAAGGCAUCUUGAUUGGUUGAAAACUCCGGUGGUUAAAGAUGGGCAUGCGUUGUAUUAGGUAGUUGGUGAGGUAAUGGCUCACCAAGCCUACGCAACAUAGGGGAUUGAGAGGUUAGCCCCCCACACUGGUACUGAGACACGUACCAGACUCCUACGGGAGGCAGCAGUGAGGAAUAUUGGUCAAUGGGGGCAACCCUGAACCAGCCAUGCCGCGUGCAGGAAGACGGCUCUAUGAGUUGUAAACUGCUUUUAAACAGGGAUAAAGCACAGUAUGUAUACUGUGUUGAAGGUACUGUAAGAAUAAGGAUCGGCUAACUCCGUGCCAGCCGCCGCAGUAA
rnacentral:rRNA from 1 species